rnacentral:rRNA from 1 species
UACGUAGGUGGCAAGCGUUGUCCGGAUUUACUGGGCGUAAAGAGCGCGCAGGCGGUCGUUCAAGUCGCGUGUGAAAGCCCCCGGCUCAACUGGGGAGGGUCACGCGAUACUGAUCGACUCGAAGGCAGGAGAGGGUAGUGGAAUUCCCGGUGUAGUGGUGAAAUGCGUAGAUAUCGGGAGGAACACCAGUGGCGAAGGCGGCUACCUGGGCUGUUUCUUGACGCUGAGGCGCGAAAGCUAGGGGAGCAAACGGG